UAUUUUUAAUCUAACCGCUACCGCCCGCAACCGCAAACGCUUGCGGGAAGGAGCUUUUGAAAAUUGGCAAUUUUGAGCGGUCCAAAGCGAUAUCUAGCGGUUUCUAUGAUUGGUUCCAAUCGCUAAUAACCGCUACCAACCGCAAACGCUGCGUUUAUGGGUGGUAGAGGGAGAACCAAUCAGCCCUUAACAAAACCGAAAAAACUAAAGAUUUGAACCUAAGUGUCGAAGAUUCUUUCGGACCAGUCUUUACCACUAGACUACCUAACAAAUACGAAAAUAUGAAGCCAAAAUUGUUUUU
rnacentral:sRNA from 1 species